rnacentral:rRNA from 1 species
GUUCGGAAACGGACGCUAAUACCGCAUACGUCCUACGGGAGAAAGCGGGGGAUCUUCGGACCUCGCNCCAUUAGAUGAGCCUAGGUCGGAUUAGCUAGUUGGUGAGGUAAUGGCUCACCAAGGCGACGAUCCGUAACUGGUCUGAGAGGAUGAUCAGUCACACUGGAACUGAGACACGGUCCAGACUCCUACGGGAGGCAGCAGUGGGGAAUAUUGGACAAUGGGGCGAAAGCCUGAUCCAGCCAUGCCGCGUGUGUGAAGAAGGUCUUCGGAUUGUAAAGCACUUUAAGUUGGGAGGAAGGGUAGUAACCUAAUACGUUACUACUUUGACGUUACCGACAGAAUAAGCACCGGCUAACUUCGUG